rnacentral:rRNA from 1 species
AUUGAACGCUGGCGGCAGGCCUAACACAUGCAAGUCGAACGAGUGGCGGACGGGUGAGUAAUGUCUGGUAAACUGCCUGAUGGAGGGGGAUAACUACUGGAAACGGUCGCUAAUACCGCCUACCAUCGGAUGUGCCCAGAUGGGAUUGUCUGGUGGGUGGGGUAAAGGCUCACCUAGGCGACGAUCCCUAGCUGGUCUGAGAGGAUGACCAGCCCAACUGGACCGGGGAACCGGCCCAGACCCCGACGGGAGGAAGCAGUGGGGAACAUUGCACAAUGGGCGAAAGCCUGAUGCACCAAUGCCGCGUGUAUGAAGAAGGCUUUCGGGUUUUAAAGUACUUUCAGCGGGGAGGCGGUACCCGAAGAAGAAGCACCGGCUAACUCCGUGCCAGCAGCCGCGGUAAUUC